GCUUAGCCGUAAACUUUUAACUACACCACAAAUCGCCCGGGAACUACGAGCAAAGCUUAAAACCCAAAGGACUUGACGGUACCCCAUAUCCCCCUAGAGGAGCCUGUCCUACAACCGAUAACCCCCGAUUAACCUCACCAUUUUUAGUUAUUCAGCCUGUAUACCUCCGUCGUCAGCUUACCCCGUGAGCGAAAUAUAGUGAGCUUAAUGCCUUUACACCAAUACGUCAGGUCAAGGUGCAGCAAAUAAAAUGGGAAGAGAUGGGCUACACUUUCUAACAUAGAAAAUACGAAAGACUACAUAUGAAACCUAGUCAGAAGGCGGAUUUAGCAGUAAAAAGAUAACAGAGAGUUCUUUUUAAUCUGGCACUGGGGUGUGU
rnacentral:rRNA from 1 species